rnacentral:rRNA from 1 species
UACGUAGGUGGCAAGCGUUGUCCGGAUUUAUUGGGCGUAAAGCGAGCGCAGGCGGUUCCUUAAGUCUGAUGUGAAAGCCCACGGCUCAACCUUGGAAGGUCAUUGGAAACUGGGGAACUUGAGUGCAGAAGAGGAGAGCGGAAUUCCAUGUGUAGCGGUGAAAUGCGUAGAUAUUAGGAAGAACACCAGUGGCGAAGGCGAUUCUCUGGACUGUAACUGAGGCUGAGGCUCGAAAGCGUGGGGAGCAAACAGGAUUAGAUA